rnacentral:rRNA from 1 species
UACGAAGGGGGCUAGCGUUGCUCGGAAUUACUGGGCGUAAAGCGCACGUAGGCGGAUUGUUAAGUCAGGGGUGAAAUCCUGGAGCUCAACUCCAGAACUGCCUUUGAUACUGGCGAUCUUGAGUCCGGGAGAGGUGAGUGGAACUGCGAGUGUAGAGGUGAAAUUCGUAGAUAUUCGCAAGAACACCAGUGGCGAAGGCGGCUCACUGGCCCGGUACUGACGCUGAGGUACGAAAGCGUGGGGAGCAAACAGG